AUCCAGCUGACGAGUCUCAAAUGGGACGAAACGCGCGUCGUGGAU
rnacentral:hammerhead_ribozyme from 1 species